UAGAGAUAGAACUAAAUAAUUCUGUCUGAUAGACACAUUCUUCUCUUUUGUGCAUUAUUGUUUUACUUAUUUUUUAAAAUGUGGUAGUCCUUGGAGGUUCCAGUGACCGUAAGGGCUGAUUCUGUAAAUAGAGGGUAAGAGAUAGUCUUCUCUUAAAAGGUCCUGCAGUGGAAAAAAACAGGCUCAGGAAAGGAUAGAAGUGCAUAAGGCACACGAUGACUUGCAAAUCUGUUGUUUCAAAAUUAUUUUUUUUUAGUUGUUCCAGCUUUUAUCCACUGAUGUAUUGGCUAGAAUUUUAUUUACUGUAUCUCAGGCAGUAUAUCAAAUGUAAGCUAGAGCAAUGGUGGGUAUGAAAGGAAAAAGAGAAGACAUGAGGGAUGAUGGUGAACUGAAUGAACUUUCUCUUCAGUCAGACAGGUGAACUUGCUCAGGAACAGAAGGAAAAAGUUAACUAGGUAGAGAGCAUAUUUUCGCAACCAUGUCAAUUCCUGAAGAUCCCUGAGAAAAUAUUUAGUACUAGAACCAAUCCUCAGUACAGUUGUAACACAGAUUUUUCUUUCUAUUGUGCAACUCCUUGAGACAGGAAGAGUAGAAUAAUGCCUAAUUCUAUCGUUAGCCUUCCCUGUACAGCUUCAGUGAGUGAAGGAGAGAGAGACUAUUGUUUUAGAUCAUUUUAUUCCCUCCUGACCAUAUCUGUGGAAUUUUCCAAGGUCUAAUUGAAAACCCUAGGAAAUGAACUCAGAUGGAUUUUAGUGUUGUAGACAUGUGUGCUUUUGAUGGGAAUCUCCUGAUCACUCUCACUAUUCACGUUGUGGUUCUUGCUGCAGAGUCAUCCUGGAGUGCAUGAACCUGAUGUUUUUUGAAUGAAAUGAAACCAGCAGAUGCACUCCAGAAGCAAGCCCCAUGACUUGCUGCUGCCAAUGAGAUGUCAGACCACAGGACAGCCAAAAACUAGAGUAUCCUGUCUGCCAUCCUUGAAAACAACAGAGUAAUGUGUCCCUCCCUGAAGUGGCAAAUCUGCCUGCCCUUCUUCCACUUUUUUUGCUGCCUUUAACAUUUCAAACAGAGGUGUUUCUCUGAAGGUCCACUGGGACUGAACUCAAAUCUUGCCUUGGUUUCAUGCUGUGAGCUAACUCCUGGUCACCUGGGGGUUUGCGUCGGGUAGUCUGAAGCGCCCAGAUGACAGCCCAUUGUUACUCCUGAUUGCUACUGGCUAAAAUGUUUGUGUGUCUCACACCAAGCCAAUAUAACUGUUUGAUACUUAGAGGAAAUGAAAGUGAAAAUACAGAAAAGUGCAGAGCUGAUAAAAUAGUGCCCACAUCAUCUUUCUGGUUUAGCUGUAACAUGAUGCUGAAAAGUGUCAUGGCAGUUUCCAAGUCCAUCCAUCAGAAAAACCGCAAAAGCUUAAAUAAACUUCAAUGAAUGAAUAAGUUAUCAUUGGAAUACAGUUCAAAAUUCUAGCUGACAUAGCUGUAUGGAGACAAGAUUUUGCAUAUUUUUUUCUCCUCUCCUGUCUUGGUUAUUGCAAUGCCAUUAUCUUUCUCUUUUACAGUAAAACUUAUGAAUGACCUGGAAAAAAUGUAAGCUUACUCAGUUAUACAAGGCAACAUCCAAACAAUCCAGGAGAUUUUAAAAAAGGACCUCAAACAACUACAAGCAAAACUGUAGCAACUGCAAAAUGGGUUUUAGCCCUAGCCUAUUGUUCCAGAAGCAUUUGGACUUGACUCUUGGAGCAGGGCUCAACUGGAUGGAUUUCACCUUAGGAAGAUUAAGAAGUGAAUGACCUGCUCAAGAAAAAGAUCAAGUCACCUGGCUUUUGUUUGUUGUUGUUCUAAAGAAAGGAUGAAGCAUCAGGAGCUGUGUGAGUGGCUUUACAGUGGACAGUGUAUUGUUUUCUUCAGUUGCCAUAGAUCUAUCAACAGAGUAUUAUCUCCUCGGUAAGAACUGGUUUUGCACUUCUGCACUUAAGAUCAAGAAUUAUCAAUUUUGUAGCAAGGAAGCCAUGUAAAUGAGGCCUCCUAAGGAAUAAAAAAAAAAAUCAGAUCCCACUGACAAUAUACAGGCAUUUUUAAAAUAGCUUGGACUUGAACAUUAGAACUGGUUAGAAGACAAGCCUGGGGAGGUCUUAAUAGAGAUUUACUAGCAAUUUUGGAAAUAUUUAGGUAUACUGCAUUAGCUCUACUAAACUAUAAUCUGAAUGACCAGGUUUGUACAGACACUACCAAUAUUCCAAAGAGGAACAUUUUGCCAUCUUCCAUCCGUCUCUCUGCACUGGUGCUAAGAUCACAGAGAUAAUUGUAUGAAUAGUACCAGCUACUCUGUAGCCUCCCAUCAUUACAAGUACCAUUUUGACUAAGAGAAGUAUAAGCGCAUUGCAUGAUUCAACCCAUUUUAUAUUCAUUUCACAAAACCUCCUGUAACUUAAGUUCUGACAAAAGUUCUACCUGGAUAUUAAAGAUGAAAGACCAGUAGUGUCCUUUUGGAAAGUUUAAUAAUUUUAGGUCAGUAGAACUUUAGAAUGGUUUGAAUAUUCUGUCUGAUCAUGUCUUUAGUGUGUAUGUAUAUAUUGUCUUUCAGGAGUUCCAUACAAAAUCUACUCAGAUUAUGACUAAAAGAUUGUGUCUUAACUGACUAAGAACCUUGAAAAAUUCAUCACAAAAUUGAAAAGUCUAUCUGAGCUCUUUCUAGCUCCAGGGUUAGCAAUAAAGGUUCUGGAAUCACAAUUUAUGUAAAAUCAUACUGAAGAGAUUGUACAGUGUGGUCUGGAAUAGAGAAGAGAAAAUGCUUUUUUAAUCACUGAAUUUAGAAGUUUGGAAGCUGUUAGAGGGAAAGAACAGGUAUCUUGAGUAGAAUGGUGUCAAUUUUGCAUAGCUGAACUUCAGAGUAAAAGAUGAAUUGAGAGAAAAAAUAAAAAUAUUUUCUCAACCAAGUAGACGUAGAAAGAAAGUGUGUUACAGUGCCCAGAAACUCAUUUAUGUGCUGUGUUAAAUCAUCCAGGGCAAAAUUGUUUCUGUGUGUUCCCUGGUCUGUUAUGUCCUAUUUUGUCUUGUAGGGGAAAAAAAUCCUGACUUUAAGGAAUAGAUUAUUCUUAAUCUUGUAAAGUGUAAAUGUAUCUGUUGUUUCAUAAUAUCUGCAUCAGCCCUUAAAACAAUUAAAAACACUCCAAUCCCAACUCUGUUAAAAAAUCUUCUGUCCUGAUGUGUGAAAUGAUCAGAAAUAAAAACUUCAUUUCAGCCAACAGAGAAAGAUUUCGUGAUUGGUCACAAAAAUAAUUUCAUGAUUUUCAGCCAUGUGAAAGAACUAAGGAGGUCUGUUUGAAACUACCCCCCUUCUGAUUCAAAAUAGCAUUUUCCAUAUUCAGAGUUGUACCACAUUUUGCUAUGUAGUUCCUUUUGCUGUUUCCAAUUUCUAUAAAAGAGUCGUUCAAGGACACAUCAUGUGGUUUUUUAAAUUGUUUGGUUUUGUAGGUUAAAAAAAUGCUAUUUGUGAUACAAGUUCUGUUCUUUCAGCACUGCAAAAAUUCUGUCAUGUCCACUAUAACUUUUUCUCUGUGCUUCCUAUUUGUCUUGGAUUGCAAUAUGUUUUCAAGUCACUGACAAUGGCUAAAGCCACUGGUGAUUUUAAAUGUUACUUGUAUCGUGUAGGUUUAUCUUGCAAGUAGCUGGCAAAAACCCACAUGUGAAUAUAUAUCUUCUCUAGUGAAAUAUUCAAUUUAAAAAAAAAAGUUCUUUGGAAAAUGGUGUUUAUACCAAGUGUUUGUAUAGUAAGUUUAAUAUUUAUCCAUGUAUUGCCCUGAAAUAUAUUCUACUUUAGGUAACUAUGCAUUACACAAUUUUGAAGUCAGAUCCUUUGGACAAAUUUUAUCUGUGGAUUCUGUUCUGUGUGAAGGAUGCUAUGAAGGAGAUGAUGGCCAUAGAUCCUUCAUUCAGAUGUGAUUUCAUCACAAGUUUCAGGUCACUGCCUAUCUGUGUGCUCACCUGUGUUUAUCAACACCUCUCAAAGAACUAGAAUAAAGUGAAGUACCUUAGACUGCUUUGUUCAUGCAUGCAUGUCACUUUGGGGGAUUUAGGAACAGUUAGUUCAUCCAAGGCAAACAAAGCCUGAAAUCUAAGUAAGAUGAGACUGCUGCACACCUCUGCCAAUUGAAUGAUCUAUCUUGAUGCUUCUCUGUAAAGCUAUGCAUUUGAUUCCCGACUGUUUGCAUUAUCAAUGUCUAACAGGGAGAUUUUUAAACAAUGGUGCAGAAAUGGUCCGUGGCAAGGGAGUGUAAGACUGUCUAAACUAAAUGUGUGAUCCACAGCUGAGGAAAGCACACUUUGGAAGAAUAUGGACUGAGUCAUGGCCAGGAACACCAAAAUCUGGGAAGGUGGUCUUGCCUAGUCACAAAAUAAAAAUGUGUAUAAUUGA